UACAGAGGGUGCAAGCGUUGUUCGGAAUUAUUGGGCGUAAAGCGCGUGUAGGCGGCUUUGCAAGUCGGGUGUGAAAGCCCUCAGCUCAACUGAGGAAGUGCGCCCGAAACUGCAGAGCUUGAGUGCCGGGAGAGGGUGGCGGAACUUCCCAAGUAGAGGUGAAAUUCGUAGAUAUGGGGAGGAACACCGGUGGCGAAGGCGG
rnacentral:rRNA from 1 species